ACUCAUUAACAAGUUAACAUUUUCAUAUGACCUUCAUGAAGUGAGGGAGAGAACCAUGUGGAACUGCAGCCAGAAGAAGAAGUACAAAGACCUUGAGUCUGUCUCUGGCUGGAGCCCUCAAGAAGGUAGAGACCUGCUUGAACCUCCAAGAGUCAAUUUUCUACACCAGCAGCAUAGCGGUCAGAUGAGUCUGGUGCAGGAGCACUUGUAAAGGGACAGAAAGAGGAACCAAUUAGAGAGAAAACAAAUCAAAGGAUGAAGGGGAAGCGGAAAUGCCUCUCAUAUGGAG